rnacentral:rRNA from 1 species
UACGUAGGGUGCGAGCGUUAAUCGGAAUACUGGGCGUAAAGCGUGCGCAGGCGGUUAUUUAAGUCAGGUGUGAAAGCCCUGGGCUUAACCUAGGAAUUGCGCUUGAGACUGGAUAGCUUGGAGUGCGGCAGAGGGAGGUGGAAUUCCACGUGUAGCAGUGAAAUGCGUAGAUAUCUGGAGGAACACCGGUGGCGAAGGCGACGCCUGGACCGGC